GUGGUAACAUUCACAUUAAGAAUAGUGUGGCUAUAUUCCGUUAUUACAGAAAUGUAUCCCACACUGAAAAGCGUGAUAUCGCAUGAGCGAUUUUAACGCUUCCCGUUUUGUUGAGGGAAGCGUGAACUGGAAAUAAUGUGACAAUGAAUGAAGGAGAGACCCAUGCAGGUCAGCAGAAGGCAGUUCUUUAAG
rnacentral:sRNA from 19 species